GAUGAACGCUGGCGGCGUGCUUAACACAUGCAAGUCGAACGAGAAUCAGUGGAACAAGGAUUCGUCUGAGGGAAGCUGAGGAAAGUGGCGGACGGGUGAGUAACGCGUGAGCAAUCUGCCUUGGAGUGGGGAAUAACGGCUGGAAACAGCCGCUAAUACCGCAUAAUGCAUCUGAGUCGCAUGGUUUGGAUGCCAAAGAUUUAUCGCUCUGAGAUGAGCUCGCGUCUGAUUAGCUAGUUGGCGGGGUAACGGCCCACCAAGGCGACGAUCAGUAGCCGGACUGAGAGGUUGGCCGGCCACAUUGGGACUGAGACACGGCCCAG
rnacentral:rRNA from 1 species